UACGGGGGGGGUAAGCGUUGUUCGGAAUUACUGGGCGUAAAGGGCGCGUAGGCGGCCUUCUAAGUCGCACGUGAAAUCCCCGGGCUCAACCCGGGAACUGCGUCCGAUACUGGAAGGCUUGAAUCCGGGAGAGGGAUGCGGAAUUCCAGGUGUAGCGGUGAAAUGCGUAGAUAUCUGGAGGAACACCGGUGGCGAAGGCGGCAUCCUGGACCGGCAUUGACGCUGAGGCGCGAAAGCCAGGGGAGCAAACGGG
rnacentral:rRNA from 1 species